ensembl:lncRNA ZNF37BP zinc finger protein 37B, pseudogene
GCAUGUGCGCGGUGUGGCUCCAGGUGAAGGAUGCCCGGAGGCCUCGGCAGGACCGUGCGGAAACGGGCCUUCUGCCCAAAAGAUGCUGCUUCUCUCCUUAUUCUUUCCCCUCAGAAUCUCGCUGUCUCCUUCCAACCACCUGUGGUCGGCAUCCCCGCGUUGUCACUGCGACGCAGAGGUCGCAGCUUCAUGGCCUGAUGCCUUCAGGAAGUAUUUUGAAGUCAUCGUGGCUGUGGAUUGGGGGAUUUCUUGUUUCCACUGACCUGUGAGGCCGCGCACGUGGAGGGAGGCACCCCGGGUCCUCCGGCACUGUCCGGCCUCGCCUGUGUCCCUAGUAGCAGUGGGCAUUUCCAGACGGUGCAGCUUGUGGCUAAAGUGACAGGAAGAUGUAGGAGCUUUCAGUCUUGGAUGAGGAUUCGAACUGAAGGGCUUAGGCCCAGCUGUCUUGGAGCAAAACAUCUGUUGUGGGAUGUGGCGGCAGAGGAGGGCAAGGCCGAAGGAGCAGACAGCACCGCUUCUUGGGGAGUUGUGAAGGCAUCAUGCGGAGGGCCGAGCUUAGCAGCCAAGUGGAGGACAGCACCCUCCAUGCCUGGAUUCGUUACUCGCUCGUUCUCGAUGUUGAGCUGCUGGCAUAUUGCAGCACAACUAGAGAUGUACGGAUGCCCCCAUCUUGAUCUUACAGAAUCAGAGGUGCAGCCGCAAGAAAGGUCUAGUCAAGAACAGACACUGAGUCGCUUGAGGACUCAGGCAGGUGUUUGCUGCAUUGACAACAGACUACACCCUCUCGGUUUUCUCUGCUCUGCCAACACUAGUGGAAUAUGAUCACAUCCCAGGGAUCAGUGUCAUUUAGGGAUGUGACUAUGGGCUUCACUCAAGAGGAGUGGCAUCAUCUGGACCCUGCUCAGAGGACCCUGUAGAGGAAUGUGAUGCUGGAGAACUACAGCCACCUUGUCUCAGUAGGGUAUUGCAUUCCUAAACCAGAAGUGAUCCUCAAAUUGGAGACAGGCAAGGAGCCAUGGAUAUUAGAGGAAAAAUUUCGAAGCCAGAGUCAUCUGGGUGAGUUAGUGCCAGAUGGAAUUUAAAGAAUUAAUUAAUACCAGUAGAAACUAUUCAAGAAUGAAGUUCAAUGAGUUUAACAAAGGUGGAAAAUGUUUCUGUGAUGAAAGCAUGAAAUAAUUCAUUUUGAAGAGGAACCUUCUGAAUAUAAUAACAAUGGGAACAGCUUCUGGCUGAAUGAAGACCUCAUUUGGCAUCAGAAGAUUAAAAAUUGGGAGCAACCUUUUGAAUACAAUGAAUGUGGGAAAGCUUUCCCUGAGAAUUCACUCUUCCUUGUACAUAAGAGAGCUUACACAGGACAGAAAACAUGCAAAUAUACUGAACAUGG